UUCCCCGUUCAUGUAAACACACUCAUUGUGUUCGUUUUCAACAUAGCCAGUCUGAUUAUUUAUUUGUUGACAUUGGGCGUGCCACAAGGCUAAUACGCAUCACGUCACUUUUUUCCUGUAUUCAUUCAUGGUCGACCUCAAAACUUCCGCAGUACACUGACAUUACUGCAAGCUGCAAGUCUAUGCCUGAUCUAGCUCAAAUUGCUAUUUCUAGACACAUGAACACAUUUGUAUGGAAACCUUGGGUCUCUGGCCGGGCCUCUGACACUUCCUUUAAGCCUCAUCGACUUCAUCGUUAUAUAAAGUCAAACUGACGUCUGAGAGCAGUCUACUAGCAAUCAUUUAACUUAGCGUUUCCCACUUCAGGAGAGACCUAUUCCGCGCUUCAGAGUGAUCCCAUCUAGCUCAACUGGUAGACUGCCAAGGAUAAACCUAUGUUGGUCCGCCUGCCAUUGUUGGUGGAGGACCCUGGUGUCCCUGACGAGACACUUGAACAACCGCAACUUCCCCAUCUAUGGCCACGAGAAGACCAAUGUGUGGAGGAGUCAUCAAUCAGAUGGAUUGUAACAGAAUCCAUGCCACAGACGUGCUCCAUGCAGUGUGGUACCUCACCACGCAGGCAGUGCCCGAACUGAUCCACGACUCCACCAUUGGAGGGUCACCGCCCGCGCACGCUUUUGCGCCCGUGCAUGCGUGCGUGUGUGUCUGUGCACCAAGCAGCAUUUACAGCAUCAACAUUUAACAGUUGCAGUUAGAUUAUAACCAUUAUGUGGUCAUCAUUAAUUCACUCAUUCAUUAUUUGCAUGUUCAUCUUCAUAUUCAACCCUCCCUUUCAUCCGUAUAGAAGUAAAAGUAAAUGGACUGCAUUUAUAUAGGCUAGCGCGUUUCUAACCAUUGCCAUGCAAUGGUUAGAAAAAAAGACAUGCAAUGGUGGUUAUCUCGGCCAUGGAGAAUGAAUUGGCAUGAAGCACCUUUGGCGGGCAAAAUAUGUGGCACGACAAAUUCACCUGACAAAACUUGCACAGCGACAGAUUUGUCGCGCGACAAAACUUG